rnacentral:lncRNA from 1 species
GAAAUUCUAAGACUCUCCAAGACCAACCAUAGAUGCAAGGUGUGCUUAUUUAGAAUCUCAUAUUAGAUAAAAGGUGGUUUAAACUUAUGUUUAUAAAUUGACAAUCCUAACCUUAUAAAGUUAAUUUAGGUCAAACUGAAAUUCUAAGAUAAAUAUUACUACUUAACUCCAUCUCAGGUUCGAAUCAAGUUUUUUUCUCUAUCAAAAAAUUAUUUU